rnacentral:rRNA from 1 species
AGUGAACGCUGGCGGUAGGCCUAACACAUGCAAGUCGAACGGCAGCACAGUAAGAGCUUGCUCUUACGGGUGGCGAGUGGCGGACGGGUGAGGAAUACAUCGGAAUCUACUUUUUCGUGGGGGAUAACGUAGGGAAACUUACGCUAAUACCGCAUACGACCUACGGGUGAAAGCAUGGGAUCUUCGGACCUUGCGCGAUUGAAUGAGCCGAUGUCGGAUUAGCUAGUUGGCGGGGUAAAGGCCCACCAAGGCGACGAUCCGUAGCUGGUCUGAGAGGAUGAUCAGCCACACUGGAACUGAGACACGGUCCAGACUCCUACGGGAGGCAGCAGUGGGGAAUAUUGGACAAUGGGCGCAAGCCUGAUCCAGCCAUACCGCGUGGGUGAAGAAGGCCUUCGGGUUGUAAAGCCCUUUUGUUGGGAAAGAAGAGCAGCAGGUUAAUACCCCGCUGUUCUGACGGUACCCAAAGAAUAAGCACCGGCUAACUUCGUG